rnacentral:pre_miRNA from 1 species
ACAACAUUCGGACCGUCGGUCUACCGAGCAAUAUCAAUGGUUUGGUAAAAGAUCAUCCCACCGUUGU